AUUGAACGCUGGCGGCAGGCCUAACACAUGCAAGUCGAACGGUAGCACAGAGAGCUUGCUCUCGGGUGACGAGUGGCGGACGGGUGAGUAACGUCUGGGAAACUGCCCGAUGGAGGGGGAUAACUACUGGAAACGGUAGCUAUUACCGCAUAACGUCGCAAGACCAAAGUGGGGGACCUUCGGGCCUCACACCAUCGGAUGUGCCCAGAUGGGAUUAGCUAGUAGGUGGGGUAAUGGCUCACCUAGGCGACGAUCCCUAGCUGGUCUGAGAGGGUGACCGGCCACACUGGAAAUGAGACACUGGCCAAACUCCUGAGGGAGGCAGCAGUGGGGAAUAUUGAACAAUGGGCGAAAGCCUGAUGCAGCCAUGCCGCGUGUAUGAAGAAGGCCUUCGGGUUGUAAAGUACUUUCAGCGGGGAGGAAGGCGGUGAAGUUAAUAACUUCACCGAUUGACGUUACCCGCAGAAGAAGCACCGGCUAACUCCGUGCCAGCCGCCGCCGUAA
rnacentral:rRNA from 1 species